rnacentral:rRNA from 1 species
UACAGAAAGGGCGAGCGUUAUUCAUCGUUACUGGGCGUAAAGCGUAUGUAGAUGGUAUGGUUAAUUGAAUGUGAAAUGCUAGAGCUAAACUUUAGAAGGACAUUACAAUAUUAAAAAUACUACGAAUAUUAUUUAUGUAAAAGGAAUUUUUGGUAUAAGGAUCGAAUCUUUCAAAAUCAAAAGGAACACCAAAUAGUGAAGACA